UCAGGUGCCUAUAUCGGUGGUGUCCACCUCUUCCCAUUCCGAACAGAG
rnacentral:rRNA from 1 species